UUGGUUCCCCGCGAAGGCUAUGCAGUCCCUCUGAGUCUGAGGCUGUACGGUCCUCGACAUAACUGUGCCUGUGUCAAGAACACACAUUCUCUCAAGACUUCAGUCACUCAGGGCUCCCUCCAAUCUCUACACGCGCUCUUAUUUUAUAGAUGGGAAAUGUGUGGUGUGGGGAGUUGUGACCAAGUCCAGUGUCACUUACGCUGACCGUAAUGCAAUGAUAAAAUAAACAAAUGGUAAAGGCGCCUUGCUAAUAUGCGGGCCUUGAAGGGCAGUGCGAGUUGCUAGCAGUAGUGAUGGGACAAGGCACCUGCCAACCAAGAGCCAGGCAGGGGAAUGGCCAUGAACACUCUGAAUGUCAUCGUCUGGACUUGGGUACACAAGGAAGGGCAGGCUUCAAAAGGCCCCCAUUUGCUGCUCCGCAACCACUCAGUGGAGCUCAGCCCCUAAGAUGAGUGCCCGUGCAGCAGUCCCUUACCCUUACGCCUGGGUAAGGUGAGCCCCACCCUUUCCAGAACCGUGUCUGUCUCCAUGAGUCAGAAGGAACCAACAAGUCCUGUGGUUUGUAUUCUGGACCUUCCUCUGUGUACAGAGGGCUCCUGAAUUCCUUGGUGAAAUGCAGAUGUGUGGCUUCCAGGGCAUGCCCAGGUCUUUCCUCGGGUCUGUCUUCAUGAAUGUGGGGUGUACUCGGUUGGGGGGAGGGCAAACAGGCAAAAGGGUAGCUCUGCUCAGGGAUUUGGAAAAUAAUUGGACUUUGGACAAUAUGUCCAGAUGUGUCUUUGUGGGGGAACAUGAGGCUCCUUGCAGACACGGAUAUUGAAGGGGGAGGAAAGAGAAAGGGGAUGGGCGUAGGCCAGAGACAUACGUCUCUUGCACUACCAUGUUCGGGGGAGGGGUGGGCAAAAUUCCAGGAAUUUGAGAAAUUGAAAUUAGAACUUGGGCUUUCAGAUCACUACGAUAUGCCUUUGUAAAGAUGGGAGAUAGAACAUAUUUUAAUAAUUGUCUCCCACUCCUUUUAGAACUUCGAAAUAUAGAUUGAGUAGUUCGAAUGUUUGCUCCAGGUACUGUAGCUGUGUCUGCUGGAUGAGUGUCCCAAAGCUAAGGACACCACUCAGAAAGUAAAGGGCACUCUGGGUUCCACACCUACUUGUCCUCAGGUCUUAGAGUCCUUGUGCUGUGCAAACCCUGCACAGCCUUGACUGGGAGGGAAUCAACUGAUUCUCAAGGAGCAAGUGUGGGCCAGGGAAGGGCCAGGGAAGGGCCAUCAUGGAUGUUCUUAAAGAGUCUUAAAGAGCUUGUCUUGCCUGGUCUGCAGGUUCCCUUCACAGAGAGCAGACUCCUGAGUUGAAAUUGCCUUUUUUUUCCCCUAUCUCAGCAUCAAUGCAUUGAAGUAAAGUUCCCAGGUCCCCUUCCCCAUAGCAAAUUAACUGUCACACAUGAUGCCAGAGGCCACUGGCUUCCAGGGGGUUCUGAUCAAGCUGACACCAAUCUCAGUGGGGUAUGCUGGCCUUGCUGCUCUGUCUGUUAGGACUAUUUCCUAACCAUGCUACUCUGCCAACACAAAAUAAUCCCAAUCAAGCCAAAUCAGACCAGACUAAAAGAUAUCCAGGUUUAAUCAGACACCUGCGCUCCUGGGUGGCCCUGAGGGGUCGGGGAAGCUACCAAUGCGACCACCGGAGAGGAAAAGGGAAAACCACAUGUUUGUUUCCUGGGGAACAGUUUUGAAGAGCCACAGUCACCAUCCUCCGUGAGCACUAUGGAGAGUAAUCUCAAGUGAAGGGAUUAGGAGGAGCCUCCUUUGGUGAGAACUCUUAUGACUGGCUGGUGGCUGAACACACGCAGACAGGGAACUCUCAGGAGGGAGCCAAGACCAGGAGGUGGUGAAGCAGAAGUGCUUGAAAAGACUGUGAUAGGGUCAAGUGGGCUGUGAGCAAGUCAGCUGUGUGAACGCACUAGAUCCUGAGUCCGGGACUGUGAGAGUCAGAAUGGAGCCUGCAGUGGGCGUCCUAGACCUCCCUGACAAGCAGGUCCAGAGCCACUUGUGUCCCCACCCUGACAUUGUCAGCUGCACUCUCCGAGGCCACCCUGUAAGCAAAUAUUUUCAUGAUUGUGACCAUUUGGAGAGCAGCAGUGAGCUCUUUCGAAUGCAAGCGUGCCUGUCAGCCAUGCAGACUGGACUGCUUCACAGAGUGGGAAUGUUUUGAAUACCUCCGAAGCAUCAGCCAGAUGUUGCUCAAACAGGUGCCCAAUGUAUGACCGAGAACUCUUGAGCUUUGCCCCCUAGAGCCUGUCUGCAGCAACACAUGCCGUCUUCCUCUGCGUGUCCUUUUCAUUGGUUCCUGCUUCAUUCUUCAGCCUCCAGCGAGAGUCCAGCUGCCUGCCAGAGGACCGUGAGCACCAAGGACAAGCCAAGCAAGCAUCAGAUAAGACCAGGGCUUCAGAAGCCCCACGGUUGACUGAAUGAGUAGAGGCACAAAUAGUCCCAGUGUCCGGAGAGGCGAAUCUCAAGAGGCCUCUGGCUUUGUUUUCCCUUGCAGGCUGUGCUGUGUUGCAAAUGAAGUCUUGCCAGCAAGAGGCAGGAAUGUCCUAGAAAUGUGAGGGCCAGAGGCAAACGGUCCUUUCAACUUGUUUGCUUUUCGCUGGAUGGUGUGGCUGCCUCCAACCCUCUCUUCCUGCAAAGACUCCAUUUCUUGAAGCAACCCCCCAAUCAGCCUCCCAUUGCCUCUCUCCCGCUUUGCUUCUGUCUAGCACCUGAGUAAGAACAAAGUGGAUGAUGUCAAUGCAUGCUGAACUGAGCUGGCCAGAUGUGUCUGCCUUUCCAUAAUACCAACCUCCCUCUGCCUUCACACCUCUGCCCCAAACACACAUCCUGCCACCCCCAUCUCUGCAGCACAUGCCUGCACGCACGGCAGGAGGCAAUUUGCAGCAGAGGGAGUGUAGGCCUUAGUUCUUGAUUUCAAGGUAGAUUUCUUCUGGCUGUGUUUCAGGCCAGAAGACAAAAUCUUGGAUGGCAUUCAAACUCGAGCUCAUCAAUACCUCACUCCCAGGAUUCAGAGAAGGAGCAGAUAAACAGGAUAAAGCCUUGUCUACCAAGUUGAUCUGCAGUAGAGCGGGCUCCACACCAGAGCACUGCGGUCCCUCCACAGCCCUGGGCUACACCAAGUCUCACAAAUCGUGGCUUGCAUUUUUUUGGAUCCACUUGCCUGUAGAGAUGCUUAGGAAAGGGUUAUCCAAGAUUAUCAGUGGCUGCCAGAAAGAGGCCUACUCUUUUGAGUGUACUGAGGACUGGAUGGAUGACCUAGCCAGAGUUCCCAAGCUGGCUCUCCCUGAUCUUUCCCCCACUCUUUAUUAAUAAAACUCUUAAAGUGGGUUUCGUUGUUUAUCUUGUGGUCCGUUCUCAUGCACAGCAAAUAUCAGAAAUCCUGUCUCAACAAAACAAAAAAACAAAAAGAAAGGUGUUUGAAGAGUUCUGUUUCUAAAGAUAGAGGCCACUAAAGCCAGCCCCAGCCUGUAUUCCAGAUCACACAGUCACCCCUGCACGCCAGGUCACAUAGUCACCCCUGCACACCAGGUCACACAGUCACUCCUGCAUGCCAGGUCACACAGUCACCCCUGCAUGCCAGGUCACACAGUCACCCCCUGGAUCCUCACAGUCGCUGCCUAGGGUUACUGUCCCUACUCUCACUCUGAAGACGAGGAAACGGGGAGAGAUCUGUACCAGGUUUUUUCUUCCAGGCUACCAACCAGCUCCCAAAUGAUGACACAGAGACUUAUUAUUAGUUCUGAAUGCUCGGCCUAGCUUAGGCAUGUUUCUGGCUAGCUCUUUUAACUUAAACUAACCUGUUUCUUUUUACCUAGCCUUAGCCUCAGGACUUUUGAUCUUUUCUUACUUUCUUGCUGUUUCUAUGGCCAGCUGCCUGGCAGGCAGUCUCCUAGCUUCAGCUCCUGGGGAUUUCUUGUCUUCUCUUAUUCUUCUCCUCUUUCUAAAUCUCUCCUCCCAUUUAUUCUCUCUGCCUGUAAGCCCCACCUAUUCCUCUCUCUCUGCCUAGCUAUUGGCCAUUCAGCUCUUUAUUAAACCAACCAGAUGCCUUAGGCAGGCAAGGUGAAACAGGUGCAAUACAUCUUUACAUGAUUGAACAGAUGCAGCAUAAAUAAAAGUAGCACACUGCUGUGGGACAAUGGCUUUAAUCUGUAAAGAUUUGUUUCUUGUGUUUGUUUAAUAAAAUGCCGAUUGGCCAGUGGCCAGGUAGGAAGUAUAGGUGGGGCAAUGAGAGAAGGAGAAUUCUGGGAAGAGGAAAGACGCAGUCACCCAGAUGCAGAGGAAGCAAGAUGAGAAUGCCUCACUGAGAAAACUACCAAGCCACAUGGCUAACACAGACAAGAAUUAUGGGCUAAUAUACAAGAAUUAAUAAGAAGCCUGAGUAAAUAGACCGAUCAGUUAAUAAUUAAUGCAGGCCUCUCUGUGUGUUUCUUUGGGACUGAAAGGCUGUGGGACCAGGAAGGACAGAAAACCUCAGUCAACAGCUCACGUUUACACAGUUAAAGUAAUAUUCUGCAGCAGAAACAAAUGUAACACAUCUUUACAUAGUUAAACUAAUAUUCUACAACAGAGGUUAAAUGACCCAGCAAUUCCCUAGGGUUCUCUGACAAAAAAAGUAGCAGGGUGCAUAAAUUCAGAGAACCCUAGAGAAGUAGCAAAAUGUAUAUUAAACUAAAUCAUACCAGGCAUUCAAUUCCAUGGUCUUUCCAUUACAAUAAUACAAAUAUGUCAAGAUCCAAGGAGUCUUUCAUUCUGUCCAUCAAGAUUCCACCCCCAUAUCAUGCUCCAGCCCUUUCACCAACAUCAACAAACGAAACUCCCUGAACCAUCUGAGAUAUGCAAAUUGCUACUUUACAGGAAGUGCGGCUAGGGUUCUUUGUUUAUGGACACAAAUGUCUUCACCAGAUUGGGCCCUUCAUCUUCUGUUUGUACAUGAAAAAAACAUUAGAGGCACCUUUCUCUAAGGAGAGAGUCAGAUCGCUGUUCAUAAUUCUCCCAAGGCCAAGACAUUUUAGUAAAGAGACAGUCACUUCUCCAUCCCUUCCCUCGUUUAGUGACCCUUUGAGCUGUAUCAGUUGUGUGAGGAUUCUCUAAGCCAGUAUUUUUUCCAGCUACCUUUGGAUGGAGAGUUUGAGACGUGGAGAUGGCCUCCCAGGUCCUAGAAUUGAAAGAGAAAACUAAAACUAGCAGAGAGAAACCAAUUGUUUAGAGGCGUGACCAGAAAGAAAUACAACAGAUGCCAGAGUCCAGCUCAAUGCUUCUAAACCCAUGGAGUGGCAUCCUGAUCUCAAUGCAGUCCCGUGUCUCCAUCACACUCAAGAUUUGAACCUUGUUUUGGUUUGUUGUUGCUGGUUUUCUUUCCUUCCUUCUUUCUUUCUCUA